GGGAGCGUCCGCGGCUCGCGCGCCCGCGCCGUGGAGGAGAGGUUUUAAGUAUGAUGUUUCCGUAAUACAUUUGGAUGUUUUCAGCUAAGCUCACUUCUGAACCAUGGGGUUCCUCCAAAUGUUGACUGAAAUUUGUCCUUGCGCAUCCCCAGGCUCAUCUGCAAAAUCUACAGUCCAUAAUGGAGCUACUGUACUGGCUAUUGGAAAAAGGAGAUUCUGAAGAUAGGGAGAUUCAGCUGUCAGUCUGAAAUUUCCUGUGGCCUGUUCAGUCUAGAUGCAAAGGCCAUGGAAAAAUCAAGUGCUCAAGUGGUUUAAAUAU